GAACAGGAAGACAACAACCAAGCGCAGGAGUGCCAGCGGAGGACGACACAACACCGCCUCACUCCAGCAUCAACAUCACCCGCAUCCCCUUCCCUGGCCUUGAGUCGGGGUGCGUCUCUACCUCUCCUUCCUCCUGGCAUUCUUCCUCCCUUUUGGUGCCCACACACAGACACACACACACACACACACACACACACGAGAAGAAGUACAUGGCGCCAGCGUCGUUCGCCUAGCAAGAACAAAGAAACAAGGAGGAAGGAAAAGGAAAGUAUCCACAAAAGACGCCUGGAUUGCCGUCGUGGACGCCAUUGCGCACCCACUCACAUACGCACACGUAUUGGCACCCGCCAACCCACGCAAGCACCGCUGCGCGUUUAUUUGUAGGCUCUUUUUCUCUCCAUUUGACAUAGUUGUUUUGCGGCCCCCCCCCCCCCCCCCCGGGUGCGGAAAGCUGCUGCUGCUGCUAGCCUUUUCCGUCGUUCGCCGCCCCCCCUCCCACUCACAACAGUAGUUGCUGUGAACUCCCCAGAGUACACACACACACACACACACACACACACGGAUACACAUAGAAGUGUUCGCGUUAGCCUAGCUGUUUUUUUCUUUCUUUGCCGUCUUCAUCCGCGCUCCUAUCAAGCUUCCUCGGCUACUGACCCGGCAUCUCAGACACGAAGAAGAUUGAAGGCGCCACUAGCAACAGUGGUGACUGGGGCGUCAUUAGGUGACCGCCGUCUUUGCGUUCUCGCGUAUUAGUCUUCAUACUUUCUCCUCUUCUCUUUCGGCAUCACCUCGGUAGCGAAAAUGUCUCGGCGUAUGUUUGUGCGUAACAUGAACGGGGAGUUGUCCUCGACGUGGCGCCACGGCGGUGCGGAGGCGAACACAAUGGGUGUCAACGUCGCCACCUUCGGUGCUACCGGCAUCCUUGGUCACCACAUCCACGCCGUGAACUGCUACCACGGCUACACCAGCAUCCUCCCCUUUCGCUUCCGCUCUGGCAUGCCGAGUAGUGUGCGCCAGAUGCGGUCGAGCGGUGACGGCACGGUCGGGCAGAACUUCGACACGGAUUACGAAAUCGACAAGGAGUUUGUCGUCAAGGCAAUUUUGGAAAAGGUGGACAACGUCGUUAACGUUGUCGGGGCGUGGCAGGAGCCAGCGUGCUACGAGAAUAGUCAGUCGUGGUUUUCGAUGGAAGCGAUCAACGUUGAGUGGCCGCGCAUGCUAGCUAGGUGGUGCCGCGAAAUGGGUAUCCUUAAACUCACGCACAUGUCCAUGGUCGGCGCGGAUUUGAACAGCCCAUCAAAGCUGCUGCGGCAAAAGCGCGAGGCGGAGAUCGCCGUGCUGGAGGAGUUCCCGACGGCCACGAUCAUUCGCGGCACGGACAUCUUUGCCGAGAACGACUUCUCCUACUCCAAGUAUCUGAAGGCGCAGCGGUACAUGAAGAUCGUGCCCGUUCCGAAUCGUGGCCAGCGCAUUCAUCAGCCGGUGUUUGCCGGCGACCUUGCCGAGGCGGCCGCCCGCUCGCUGCUUCUCGAUCACACGGAGGGCCGCAUUGCCGAGCUCGGGGGCCCGGUGCGCUUCACCACGAACGACCUGCUGCGUUGGUGCUCCGAGUGCAACAACCAGCGCCACCUGACGGUGCACCUGCCGAAGAUUGUCUUCGACAUUGCCUGCCACAUCAACGAGCGCUACCCGAUCCACCAAGGUGCCUUGCUAGGUACGAAGGCACCGGCGUGGAACAAGGACUGGGUGGACCGCCAGUUCAUCGACAACUGCGCCAUGCCGGAGCGCGACCCGGAUUUGCUCGACUGGGAGGACUUUGGUAUCCCACGAGAGGACCUGUAUCGCAUGGAGGAGAAGUACUUCAUCACAUCGGCGAUGUGGUCUAAGUGUGCGCCGUACCUCGACUACGGCUACCGCAUGUGAGGAGUGGCCCUUCCCUCCCCCUUCCCCUUUCUGUCUCCCACGCAGAAAAGGAUAGAAGCCGAAAAGGGUAACAGCUGGGUGGCCCACCUAUGGUCAUCUGCGCCCGCCCAUCGCGGGCUCUGCUUAUGUGGGUGUGUGGCGAGUGAGAGCAGCCGCGUCGCACAAAUGGACGUGUUCGUCGUCGUCUUCGCUUAGAGCUCUUUCGGAGCUCUGCCCAUCGCCGGUUUUGGCCUUCAUCGCUCAUUCCCCUCUCUUUUCUUCCUCCGCUGGUCUCAAACCGCUUGUGAUUGCUUUGUCUCGCUUGUUGUGUCCGCUCGUGCGGGCAUGCGGAUGAGCAGCAGACCAGCGCCGCUUCUCUUUUGGGCACGUGGGCGUGUGCGCCUGUGGAGUGGUGAAGGCGUGCUGGCGUGGCGGCCGCGGCGGCCAUCACAAUGUUGGGGCAUGGGCGCUUGUGUGCGUCUGCAUGCAAGUGUAUUCUAGCGUGCGCUCCUUUCUUUUUGUUCGCGUACGACGUGUAGCGUCCUUUUUUUUUGCCUUUCGACAUUCGGUUGCCUUCAAAUACACGAAAGAAAGAAAAAACAGCGCAUGUAGCAAUAUCGGGCCCUUGCGUGUGUCCUUGCUUCUUCCCCACUUUUUUCCUCCUUGGUGGAGGCAGGACGACGACUCCAGUCGACAGUGAGGAGCGGCGUUUGUGUGGGCUACCGAGGGAGCGAGGGAAGCGUGCAGGAGCAGAGGGAGGGGCAGGCAUG
rnacentral:misc_RNA from 1 species